rnacentral:rRNA from 1 species
GUGUCAGCCGCCGCGGUAAUACGGGGGGGGCAAGCGUUGUUCGGAAUUACUGGGCGUAAAGGGCUUGUAGGCGGCCAACUAAGUCAGACGUGAAAUCCCUCGGCUCAACCGGGGAACUGCGUCUGAUACUGGAUGGCUUGAAUCCGGGAGAGGGAUGCGGAAUUCCAGGUGUAGCGGUGAAAUGCGUAGAUAUCUGGAGGAACACCGGUGGCGAAGGCGGCAUCCUGGACCGGUAUUGACGCUGAAAAGCGAAAGCCAGGGGAGCAAACGGGAUUAGAAACCCUCGUAGUCC